UCCUCUGACUCCUCUGCUUACCUGUCUGUCGCCAGGGCCAUCGCCUGCAUCCUGGACACCUGGCUGGGCCAAUAUUCCCGGGACUUUUUCCAGCCCCCAGAGUUUCCUUGCCUGAAGAUGCUGCUGGCAUAUAUGGCACUCAAUAUGCCAGGCUCAGACCUGGAGCGCCAUACCCAGCUUCUGCUCUCACAGCUGCAACACCUUGAGCCCACGGAGCCAGAGGCUGGGGCACCAGCCCCACAGCAAGACCCUGAACCACAGCAAGAACUCGCCCCAGCAGCCACUGUGGUGCCCGCUGCAGCUUCAGAGCCCGAGCUGGCUGAACCCAUCACUGCUGCCGGAGCUCAGCAGUCAGACAGAGCAGCGAUACCACUUGCCAUGGCCGGGCCAGUGCAGCUGGUAGUCACAGCUCUAAUUCAUUCUCCUGAGCUGGGAGAGCCAGCUGAAACUUUGCCUGUCCCGGAGGUCGAGCAGGGUCCUGCCCCUGCUACUGGGGUUGCUGCCGGGCCUGAGCAACCCCCUGCCUCAGUGGAGGAACCAGCCCUGGCCCCAGAGCAGCAGCUCGUGCUGGCUGCAGCCCCAAAGGAUGCCUUCGCCUUCCCUGUCGUUGCACUCUUCGUCAUUCUUGUGUGUUUAAUACCCCUGUAUUGUGGCUUAAUAUAUUUUGUUCUUUAAAUAAAGUAGAAUUUGAGUUUACAUAAAAUUUCAAUUGUAUAUCGAGAUGCCAUCAGGUAUAUUCAGAGUGUUGCACAACUUCUAGAACAUUUCCAUCACAGAGACACCUGUGCUACUCAUCAGGCACUGCUCAUUCCCUCACCCCAGUCCCUGCAACCACUGCUCUUCUCUCUGUCUCUGGUACUUUACCUUUUCCGGCAUUUUCAUGUGCCUGGAAUCCUACAAUAUGGCCUUUCGUGUCUGGCUACAGAACACAAGAGUGUAACACCCAGUGCACCAUGCAAUACGUGCCCUCCUUAAUACCCAUCCGCAAGUAAUGAAUCCUGGAACUUUACAUCAGAAACUAGGGAUGUCCUGUAUGGUGACUAACAUAAUAUAAUAUAAUAAGAUAAAUAAAUAAAUAAAAUUAAAAAAAAAUAAAUAUAUA
rnacentral:lncRNA from 1 species